rnacentral:misc_RNA from 1 species
CUAAGCCCUCUUUCUUUCUCUCUAUCUCUCUCUGGGUUCGAGAAAGUGCAACAGAAUCGCUCCAACCUAUAAAGAAUACCCAACCUUCCCAACCCGUGUAAGUAAAAAUAAUUGCACAACCCCAACAAAAAUUCUUACCUUAGACCACUCUAUCUCCUCACCUCACCCUUUCUUCUCUUCCCUACUCGCUACUUCCUUCUUUUAUAUCCAUCCAAGAAAAUCUUCACCUGAUUUUUUCUUUUUUUUCGCUUCUUCUAUAUAUCUGUGCCUUGUAUUUGUAUAGCCUUAAAAAUAAAAUAUAGGGAUAAAGGCCGAAAUAUGGUUAUUAGUAGCGGUUCUGUGCCGUUCAAGGUGUUAUUUGGGGCAAUUGCAACGUUGGGAUUUGUCUGUCUUCUGUUAAUUGCAACUCUGCAAACUGGAGCAACCAAAAGCACAACAACAGCAGUUCAAGCUACUCCAAGUUUCAAACAUGAGGCAGAUAUAGGAAGAGAGAAGCUUAUUUAUGACCCAGAUUUGGAUCUCAACUACAUGAUGAGCAAGAGAAAAGUUCCUAAUGGUCCUGAUCCCAUUCAUAACAGGAAAGCUGGGAACUCCAAACGACCUCCUGGCCGAGUUUAGUGAGGUGUCCUCAGUUAUCAAGGGAUUGAUAAGGUUGAAGAGCAGAGAAGUGGAAGAAGAGAAAAGAUGUCUGCCAUCUUGUAUGUAUUCUUUAGAAAUGGGACAAUAGAUGCUCCUGAAAUUAUUUUGAGAAUCCCAGCAUGCAACUCUUUUUUACUUCCACAAAACUGUUAUAUAUGGGGAGAUGUUGGGGUUGGUAUAAAGCUUAAGGGAAUAGCUUGUCAAUCACAAAACCAUAUAUACUGCUCAAAAGAGAAUCUAGCUAGGGAGAAAGAUUAGACUACAGCCUUUGCAAAAACAACUAUACUUCAGUGUUUGACAUGUUUUUGUUAUUUUGUCAUUUUCUGUUUCAAGUGUGAGAGAGAAGGAAGGAGGGGUUAUUUAGUGAUCAUAUAUAUAAAUUAUUAAGCUUUGUUUUGUGACCAAAUAAGAAAAUACCCAUUUGCAAAAAAAAAAUUAAGGACAUGUACCAAAUCGUUAUCUAUCAAUCAAUCAAUUUGGGCAUGUUUUGUUGUUCCAUUUUUGUAAUUUUUCAAUUAAAAAUUGAAAAGAGAGGAGGAAGAAGAAGAAGAGGAAGAA